rnacentral:rRNA from 1 species
CAGCCGCCGCGGGAAAACAGAGGGUGCAAGCGUUAAUCGGAAUUACUGUGCGUAAAGCGCGCGUAGGUGGUUUGUUAAGUUGGAUGUGAAAUCCCCGGGCUCAACCUGGGAACUGCAUCCAAAACUGGCAAGCUAGAGUAUGGUAGAGGGUGGUGGAAUUUCCUGUGUAGCGGUGAAAUGCGUAGAUAUAGGAAGGAACACCAGUGGCGAAGGCGACCACCUGGACUGAUACUGACACUGAGGUGCGAAAGCGUGGGGAGCAAACAGGAUUAGAUACCCCCGUAGUCCCUGUCUCUUAUAC